UGGGGAAUAUUGCACAAUGGGCGCAAGCCUGAUGCAGCCAUGCCGCGUGUAUGAAGAAGGCCUUCGGGUUGUAAAGUACUUUCAGCGGGGAGGAAGGUGUUGAGGUUAAUAACCUCAGCAAUUGACGUUACCCGCAGAAGAAGCACCGGCUAACUCCGUGCCAGCAGCCGCGGUAAUACGGAGGGUGCAAGCGUUAAUCGGAAUUACUGGGCGUAAAGCGCACGCAGGCGGUCUGUCAAGUCGGAUGUGAAAUCCCCGGGCUCAACCUAGGAACUGCAUUCGAAACUGGCAGGCUAGAGUCUUGUAGAGGGGGGUAGAAUUCCAGGUGUAGCGGUGAAAUGCGUAGAGAUCUGGAGGAAUACCGGUGGCGAAGGCGGCCCCCUGGACAAAGACUGACGCUCAGGUGCGAAAGCGUGGGGAGCAAACA
rnacentral:rRNA from 1 species